rnacentral:rRNA from 1 species
AUUGAACGCUGGCGGCAGGCCUAACACAUGCAAGUCGAGCGGAGCGGCGGACGGGUGAGUAAUGCCUAGGAAUCUGCCUGGUAGUGGGGGAUAACGUCCGGAAACGGGCGCUAAUACCGCAUACUAUCAGAUGAGCCUAGGUCGGAUUAGCUAGUUGGUGGGGUAAAGGCCUACCAAGGCGACGAUCCGCAACUGGUCUGAGAGGAUGUUCAGUCACACUGGAAUGGAGACACGGUCCAGGCUCCUACGGUAGGCAGCAGGGGAGAAGAUUGGACAAGGGGCGAAAGCGUGGUCCAGCCAUGCCGCGGGUGUGAAGAAGGGUUGCGGCUUGUAAAGCACUUUAAGUUGGGAAGCGUUACCAGCAGAAUAAGGACCGGCGAACUUCGUGCCAGGCGCCGCGGUAAUAC